UGGGUGCUAGUUGUGGGUUCCAUUCCACGGAAUCCGUGACGAAGUUAACACAUUAAGCACCCCGCCUGGGGAGUACGGUCGCAAGACUAAAACUCAAAGGAAUUGACGGGGGCCCGCACAAGCGGCGGAGCAUGCGGAUUAAUUCGAUGCAACGCGAAGAACCUUACCAAGGCUUGACAUAUAGAGGAAAAGCGUAGAAAUACGCUCCCCGCAAGGUCUCUAUACAGGUGGUGCAUGGUUGUCGUCAGCUCGUGUCGUGAGAUGUUGGGUUAAGUCCCGCAACGAGCGCAACCCUCGUCCUAUGUUGCCAGCACGUAAUGGUGGGAACUCAUGGGAGACUGCCGGGGUCAACUCGGAGGAAGGUGGGGAUGACGUCAAAUCAUCAUGCCCCUUAUGUCUUGGGCUUCACGCAUGCUACAAUGGCCGGUACAAAGGGCUGCAAUACCGCAAGGUGGAGCGAAUCCCAUAAAGCCGGUCUCAGUUCGGAUUGGGGUCUGCAACUCGACCCCAUGAAGUCGGAAUCGCUAGUAAUCGUAGAUCAGCAACGCUACGGUGAAUACGUUCCCGGGCCUUGUACACACCGCCCGUCAAGUCACGAAAGUCGGUAACACC
rnacentral:rRNA from 1 species